GCCCCUUUUAUGGCUUGCCUCCUAUCCUAUCCUAUACCUGUGAAUCAUUUUCAUUGUUUUCUGAUAAUUUUAAUUAAUUUCAGAUUCAUUUUAAAAUUAAUUAUACUGCAGCGAAUUUUCCAUCAUUUUCAUCGACUUGCAUCGAAGAACCGAUAUUCGGCGUUGAAAUACUCAACAGAUCAGACAGUUUUAUCGAAAAGAAACCGAAAAUGGAUUCGGAUGGAGAAGAUGAUGUUAAUGUACCUUUCGCCAUCAGAGCUGCUGCAUAUAUGAAUACGAUUUCCCAAAUGGUACGCGAGAUUUCUGAAAAAUAUGCUCAGUUACAACUGGACGCCAAAUUCAAAGAACAAUUGGAUAUGAAACUCGAAUUAAUGCAUCGCGAAAUACAAACGAUCAAUAAGCUGUUAGUUCCUUAUUUACCUGAAGAAUGAAGUAUUUUUGGUUUCGGUGGUGUGUCUAAUGUGAAUUUUCCUCAUUUAGAAUUUAGUCAAGUAUAUUUGUAAGCAAUUAGUUUUUAUUUUUCAAAUUAUCAUAAGUUUUUUUCAUCGCAAAUUUAUAAUAAAAAGUACCUAUCGAGUAAUGUAA